rnacentral:tRNA from 1 species
GGGCCCAUAGUAAAGUGGCAUUACGUGGCAUUCGCAUUGCCAAGGCCCGGGUUCGAUUCCCGGUGGGUCCACCA